rnacentral:rRNA from 1 species
UACGUAGGGGCAAGCGUUGUCCGGAAUCAUUGGGCGUAAAGAGCGUGUAGGCGGCUCGGUAAGUCCGCUGUGAAAGUCCAGGGCUCAACCCUGGAAUGCCGGUGGAACUGUCGAGCUAGAGUCCGGAAGAGGCGAGUGGAAUUCCUGGUGUAGCGGUGAAAUGCGCAGAUAUCAGGAGGAACACCAAUGGCGAAGGCAGCUCGCUGGGACGGUAGCUGACGCUGGAGACGCGAAAGCGUGGGGAGCAAACAGG